rnacentral:rRNA from 1 species
UCUACACUCUCCUGGAAACGGGUGGUAAUGCCGGAUGCUCCAUCACACCGCAUGGUGUGUUGGGAAAGCCUUUGCGGCAUGGGAUGGGGUCGCGUCCUAUCAGCUUGAUGGCGGGGUAACGGCCCACCAUGGCUUCGACGGGUAGCCGGCCUGAGAGGGCGACCGGCCACAUUGGGACUGAGAUACGGCCCAGACUCCUACGGGAGGCAGCAGUGGGGAAUAUUGCACAAUGGGCGCAAGCCUGAUGCAGCGACGCCGCGUGAGGGAUGGAGGCCUUCGGGUUGUAAACCUCUUUUGUUAGGGAGCAAGGCAUUUUGUGUUGAGUGUACCUUUCGAAUAAGCACCGGCUAACUACGUGCCAGCAGCCGCGGUAAUACGUAGGGUGCAAGCGUUAUCCGGAAUUAUUGGGCGUAAAGGGCUCGUAGGCGGUUCGUCGCGUCCGGUGUGAAAGUCCAUCGCUUAACGGUGGAUCCGCGCCGGGUACGGGCGGGCUUGAGUGCGGUAGGGGAGACUGGAAUUCCCGGUGUAACGGUGGAAUGUGUAGAUAUCGGGAAGAACAC